UACGAAGGGGGCUAGCGUUGCUCGGAAUUACUGGGCGUAAAGGGCGCGUAGGCGGAUGUCUAAGUUGGGGGUGAAAUCCCGGGGCUCAACCUCGGAACCGCCUUCAAUACUGGAUAUCUUGAGUUCGGGAGAGGUGAGUGGAAUGCCGAGUGUAGAGGUGAAAUUCGUAGAUGUUCGGCGGAACACCAGUGGCGAAGGCGGCUACCUGGACCAGCAUUGACACUCAAGCACGAAAGCGUGGGGAGCAAACAGG
rnacentral:rRNA from 1 species